CAGACAUGAUGGAAAUAAUACAGUGAACUUUUGGAGCUUUACCCCUCCUGUUCUUCCUUCAAAAGCAGGUGCAGAGUACCACCUUUGGCACCUUUGAAAACAACUUCCACCUUUUUUGUUUUGUUUUAUUUUUUUGCCAUUUUUGCAUGAAUAGUGGAGCAGUGAAGAUGGACAAGAAAGUAGGGAGAGAGAGAGAGAGAGAAGGGGAGGAAAUGCAGCAAAGACGCAGCAACAAUGGGGACUCAGACUCUUGUAUGACAUCAGAAUGAAGGCGUUCCGCAGGCGGUGCUGGACCAAGGCCAGGAAGAUCGUGAAGG
ensembl:lncRNA